CCUUCAAAUUCAAAUUUAUCCAAUCAUUUCUUCUGCUUACUACCAUCCUAAAUCAUUUUUCUUUAGUAAGAUCUAUUAGUGGGAAGCUAUUAAGCUAUUAAUGUAUCAUAUUAAUUGUAUUCAGAUAUUAAGUGAGGAGGUAAAGUUGCAUUCACAGGCCUUGAACUUUUCCACAUCUCGAUUUUUACCCAUCAUCUCUGAAUAGUUCCCUAAGGCAGCCUUCAAAUGGUGAUGUUUCUUAUAAUCCAGAGUUCAGAAGUGGCUUCUCUUCAAUCUUUCUGUGGAAUUCUAAACCAUGUGAUAAAGGAGCUGGUGAAAUCAUCACUGGGCUGAAAGAAUGUAGUACUGGUGACAUGAGACUGCAUUUCCAUUUUUAAUUAAAAUUCUAACUGACCCAGAGCCAGAUUUCCUUCUGCACCAGAGCCUGUGGAAGCGCCACAGUGGAAGCAGCAGAGACUGGAAGAGCAGGCAAGAAGCUGGGAGCUUUGCACUGAACCAGGAAGACACCACAGCUCUUAGGCAAAGACCCGGAAAGGUGUCAACAUGGCCACACUACUGCUCCCACCUUGUCCUUACUUUCCUCAUCUCACCCCCACAGGCCACAGAUCAGCCCUGGGGUUCAGAGGGAUCCUGACGGCUACUCCUCAAGAUCCUCUCUGUUGUGAUUCAUCCCCCCCGGGCCCUACAGUUUCUCCUUCCUGACUCUUACAUUUCUUUGGAUGGCAUCAUUAUUUACCUGUCUCCUCCCAUAGUUAGGUGCCAAGCACUGUGGAUUCUGCCCCUCAGUGUCCAGACACCCAUUU
rnacentral:antisense_RNA from 1 species